AUGGCACACCGGUCUCCCACUUCUUUUCGCCGUGCGCGCCCACCAACUGUUUGUUCCUCGGCGCAGCUGCUGCAGAUGUUCGCCAUGUAUCGCCAGGACAGCAGCGACCAAGAAUUCAAAUACCUCCACGUCUUCAAGCGGAUCGAGAAGUGCGAGAAGUGGGCGGAUGUCCGGCGCACCCUCGCCAAGGCCAAGGAGACCUACAAGCCGGACGCGCCGACGCCGGGCGCCCCGAAGGCAACAAAGGGGCCAAGAAGGGGAAACACGCCGACUAGGCUACCGCGCGAGUGCAGGAGUCCACCGAGCAUUGCUUCGCCGACGCACAGGCCCGGGCCGCCCUGCGUGAAGAGAAGACUGAGGCGCGGUCGUCGGCGUUGA
rnacentral:rRNA from 1 species